GUUAGGAAUAUUGGACAAUGGGCGCAAGCCUGAUCCAGCCAUGCCGCGUGAGUGAUGAAGGCCUUCGGGUUGUAAAGCUCUUUAGUCCACGAAUAUAAUGACUGUAGUGGAAGAAUAAGCCCCGGCUAACUUCGUGCCAGCAGCCGCGGUAAUACGAAGGGGGCGAGCGUUAUUCGGAAUCACUGGGCGUAAAGCGUGCGUAGGCUGUUUUGUAAGUCAGAAGUGAAAGCCCAGGGCUUAACCCUGGAAUUGCUUUUGAAACUACAAGACUCGAAUUCGGGAGAGGAUAGCGGAAUUGUCAGUGUAGCAGUGAAAUGCGUAGAUAUUGACAGGAACACCAGUGGCGCAAGCGGCUAUCUGGACCGAUAUUGACGCUGAGACACGAAAGCGUGGGGAGCAAACAGGAUUAGAUACCCUAGUAGUCC
rnacentral:rRNA from 1 species